CCCGCUUCUGCCGCCGCAGUCUGACAGAAGAGCGAGCGAGGUUGUAUCAUGGCGAGCAACAGGUCGUUUACUGGGAUGAAGAUUUGGUGUUGAUAGAGGUAACUUCUUUAAGGCAAAACCUUAGACCUGAUGCAACAUCAUCCCAUGUUGCAAUCACCCUCAGGAGGCACUUGAAGCCCAGUGCCCAAUAUGCACAGGAACAUUUCCAGUGUCAGAAGUAGAACUGCCAUGCCAGCUUUUGUGG